UCUGACCUCAAAUCAGGUAGGACUACCCGCUGAACUUAAGCAUAUCAAUAAGCGGAGGAAAAGAAACUAACAAGGAUUCCCCUAGUAACUGCGAGUGAAGCGGGAAAAGCUCAAAUUUAAAAUCUGGCGGUCUUCGAUCGUCC
rnacentral:rRNA from 1 species